AUGUCAAAAAUUCAAGGUACACAAGCCUCAGUUCAUUAUAUUGAAAGGUCCACUACUCAGUUGGUAGAGUACAAAGCUCUUAACCUUAUGGACGUGGGUUCAAGCCCCAUGGUGGAGAUUACAUCAUAUGAUGUUAUCAUUAAUGAAUUAUAUACAAAGUCCCAGCUCAGUAUUAUCUUACUGAGCCGGCCCUUGGGGGCUACACGUUGCUGCUCAAGUUUACAUGAUCAUAUUUACAAAGUCCCUGCUCAUUAUAUCAUAUUGACCCGACACUUGGGGGCUACAAGUGAUAUGAAUAUAAUGGAGUUCUACAUCUUUAAGCCGGUUGAAGGUCACAUGAGUAUUUCAAGACCUAUAUUUUUAAAACAUUGGGAGCUGAGUCAAAUGAAUUAUUCUUCAGUCUUUCUCUGUGAGAAACCAACGUCGGCAAAUUGA
rnacentral:rRNA from 1 species